rnacentral:rRNA from 1 species
AUUGAACGCUGGCGGCAGGCCUAACACAUGCAAGUCGAGCGGAGGAAGGGAGCUUGCUCCUGGAUUCAGCGGCGGACGGGUGAGUAAUGCCUAGGAAUCUGCCUGGUAGUGGGAGAUAACGUCCGGAAACGGGCGCUAAUACCGCAUACGUCCUGAGGGAGAAAGUGGGGGAUCUUCGGACCUCACGCUAUCAGAUGAGCCUAGGUCGGAUUAGCUAGUUGGUGGGGUAAAGGCCUACCAAGGCGACGAUCCGUAACUGGUCUGAGAGGAUGAUCAGUCACACUGGAACUGAGACACGGUCCAGACUCCUACGGGAGGCAGCAGUGGGGAAUAUUGGACAAUGGGCGAAAGCCUGAUCCAGCCAUGCCGCGUGUGUGAAGAAGGUCUUCGGAUUGUAAAGCACUUUAAGUUGGGAGGAAGGGCAGUAAGUUAAUACCUUGCUGUUUUGACGUUACCAACAGAAUAAGCACCGGCUAACUUCGUG